AUGGGCUGCCAAACUAUUUCCCCAAACGACCUGGAGCUUAUGAUGUCGGAUAAACAUGAAGCCAAAAAACCUGGGGCUAUCGAGUUUAAACUUCUUCACGAGAUCACAAAUAAUUUCUCUGAUGAAAUUGGACGUGGUGGAUAUGCCAAGGUUUAUAAGGGACUCCUUGGAAACGGCAUGGCCGUUGCCGUGAAGAAGCUGUCCAAUCCGCAUUUUCGCGACGAUAAAUUCUUCCUUCGGGAGAUUGAAUGUCUUAUGAAGGGGAAGAAGCACAGGAAUAUAGUACGAUAUUUGGGAUAUUGUUGUGAUACCGUGGGAGAAAUAGAAACAUAUGAAGAAAAAAAUGUCAUAGGGGAAAGGCUAAAAAGAUUGAUCUGCUUUGAGUAUGUACCAGAAGGGAAUCUCCGUAGCCAUAUCAAUGAUGCAUCUUGUGGACUUGAAUGGAGAGAACGUUAUAAAAUAAUAAAAGGAAUCUGCGAGGGUUUGAAUUACCUUCACACCAAAGGUAUUACUCACCGGGAUCUUAAGCCGGAAAAUAUACUCAUGGAUAAUAUGAUGGUGCCGAAAAUAGCCGACUUUGGUCUAUCAAGGUACUCUAAGGAUGAACAAACCCAUGCUAGUACUACAAAUCAUGUUGUAACCUUCGGAUAUGCGCCGCCAGAAUUCGAUGGCCGGAAAGUCACACGAAACUUUGAUAUAUAUAGUCUUGGUGUUAUAAUCAUGGAGAUCGUGACUGGAGAGAGGGGGCAUCACAAGCCAGAGGCAGUACUUGAAAGUUGGAGUAAUAGGCUUGAGACAUCAAUGGAAGAAGAUCAAGUACGUGUAUGUAUCGAGAUAGCAGUAGAGUCCACACAAUUCGAACCAGAGAAGAGACCAGUUAAAGCACAGGAUAUAAUUGAUAGGCUUGUUGCAACGGAGCUCCUUAACGUCUACCUUUUCAAGCUUGGGUUACCCACCGAACCCAAUACAGAUAAACAGUUGGUGUUUAGGCUUACGAAUAAGAGCAGGGAGUCCUGGCAGUACUUUGCAAGUAUUCCGCUCUACGUCAUCGUGCCUUCCAGGUCGACUUACACCCUCGUUGUCACAGAAAAACAACAGGAUAUGCUACCUGAAGAAAUAGACUAUGAUCUGAUCCAACAGAGCAGUAUAUCAGAAGACAAAAAUAUCCAUGCUUUCAGAGACCAAUUAUACCUGAAGAAGUAUGACCAAUUUUAUGAGGACACGGGGAAUGAUGUGCAUGAGGUGAAACUGAAAACUACUUUUGCAACAUCUGAGCACGCAAAUCCUGCAAAGAAUGGACAGAUAAUAUCCAUGAAGAAUACUCAUGGCGUUCUGUGUUGCCUAGACGCACAAGCCACAGAGCCAUGGAUUGUAACAGGUCAUCAGCACGGAGAUGUUUGCAUAUGGAACUAUUACCCGCAGAGAGGAAUGGAUUCGUUCAAUAUCUGGAAGGAGUCGGUUAUGCAUUCUUACUCGUCAUCGAAUAAAGUUCAUUCCGUUAAAGUUAUCUUAAGAAAGGAAAAGACAUGGUUUGUGGCUGCGACAUCGGAUGGUGUGAUCCAUGUAUACGAUUACAACAACAAAAUGGAAGAAGUGUCAAGUUUCAGAGCCGCCAGUGAUUCCUUCAUCACUUCAAUGGCCGUACAUCCAACCAGUUCGUAUCUAUUGUCAUCGGCACAUCGUGCUGUAAAGCUCUGGGACUGGGACAAUGGCUGGAAGGAGUGCGAACCAUCAUUCAACCAGGAACACUCUGCUAGUAUACGUCAAGUCGCAUUUAACCCAAAGAAUACCAACAUUUUUGCAACUGCUUCAGAUGAUCACACCAUAAAGGUUUGGAGCAUUGGCUCUCCCGAAUCCAAGUAUACUUUGUCAGGGCAUCUGGGCAAAGUGAACUGCCUCGAUUUCUUCAGAUGUGAUGGUAGUGGUACACAGUAUUUGAUUACUGGCUCUGACGAUCGCACAGCUAAGAUCUGGAACAUGGAGAAGGCGGCUUGUGUUGACACAAUAAUGGAAGCUUGUGUUCAUACAAUGGAAGCUUUCAUGUCUCCAGUAAAUUCCGUCCUUGCACUUCGCGACCCUCUGUAUCUUAUUGCAGGAUCAAAAGAUGGAUCUGUUCAUAUCUUUUCUGUCGAAAAGGAGGUUUCUGUUCAUAUCUUGAGCUCGACUAAUUUCAGGCUUGAGAGGAUUGUUAAUUUUGGUUCUAGCGGAGCUAUCUGGGGUCUCGGAAAUUUGAUGGGUCCGUCAAAAAGGAUUGUGAUUGGACAAGAGUACGCAAUUUCAAUCAUGGAUAUGGAAAUGUGCAAGCACUGA
rnacentral:rRNA from 1 species